UUAAUGCCAUGAAAGUUAAUAAAUAUUAUACAAAAGUUAGCUCUGGUUAUCAAAUUUGAGUGCUAAUAUUUAGACCAACUGCACUGGGACUUUCCUUAGCUUGCAUCACUUUGCUUGUCUGUGUUUGCGUGUUCCAGACAGACUGUCAAGUGCAUUAGUGGGGAUGAUUUUUCAUUGACUCUUAUGGCAGGUUACAACGGUAGGUGGCGACAAAUGACUUUUUACGAGAGAGCAAUUGAAUCAUUAUACUGAACCUCUACCUGAUUUGUAAAAGAUUGUUGUAUAUAUUGUUAAGAAAAAAAUAAUCCAUGCAUGUGCUUCUCUCUCUUUUCCUUGUGAUGCAUAAUCAAAAUAGCAUAACUGGAAAGUGACGGACAUCACUGGCUCCAUUCCACUUUGUUUUUUUUUUUUUAUGCCACUUGAAUCACCUUUCUUUUCUUGCAAAUUUUUUUGAUGCAAAAUUCUAUGUUUAUACGUAUGCAUGGACUGUUUUAAAUAUUUAAAAAAUAAUUAAUAUAUCAUAGCUGUGACAACACUAGUCGAGUUACUGUCCAUACAAACUUCUCUCAUCCACUUCACAAACUGGUACACACUUCAAAAUGGUAGUGGGGAUUCCCCCAAGGGGAUGUGCUUAGGGACUUUGCUAGUGUAUGUUUCAAAGCGUAGUGGAACGUAGCCUCUGUGGUGAUGUAUGCAGGAUGUUGUCACUUUUCUGUUCUGUUUUGGUUUACUUCUUCUGUUGUAGAUUUUGCUUGUGUGCUUGGGAUCAUUGUCCUGUUCCAUGACCCUGUUUUGGCCAAGUUUAGUCACCAUCGGAUAAACAAAAUUUGAACUGAAUCAAGCUGGAUGAUGGCACUAUUGUUUUCUGUAGGGCUGCUUUACAGCUGAAUCGCAUCUCACAACAUCACCACUGGUAUUGAACUGAACUGAAUCAACAUUGAACUCACUCGAGAUGAAUAACAACACUGCUGGCUUUUGUAGAAUUGCUGAUUGAUUAACUUGAAACUGACGGGUAAAUACUGAAACUAUUGUUUUUUUUUUUAGAGCUGCUAAAUCGGAACUGUCUCUAUACAUGAGUUUCCAUAAUGGUUUCUGUUACUUCCUGUUCAUUUAUGUGAAGCUGCUUUGACACAAAAUGUAUUGUAUAAAACAUAAUAAAAAUAAAGUUGACCUGGUUUGACUUGACAUCCAUUCUCCAAACCACUUCCCCAAUCAUGGGGAUGUUUAGGCAUUUCUGGCCA
ensembl:lncRNA